CAGUUAGUUGGCGGGGUAAUGGCCCACCAAGACGAUGAUCAGUAGGGGAACUGAGAGGUUGAUCCCCCACACUGGCACUGAGAUACGGGCCAGACUCCUACGGGAGGCAGCAGUAGGGAAUAUUGGUCAAUGGAUGGAAGUCUGAACCAGCCAUGCCGCGUGCAGGAAGAAGGCCUUCUGGGUUGUAAACUGCUUUUGUCAGGGGAUAAAAUUUCCUUGCGAGGAAAAUUGAAGGUACCUGGCGAAUAAGCCACGGCUAACUACGUGCCAGCAGCCGCGGUAAUACGUAGGUGGCAAGCGUUGUCCGGAUUUAUUGGGUUUAAAGGGUGCGUAGGCGGCUUUGUAAGUCAGUGGUGAAAUAUCGCAGCUUAACUGUGAGGGUGCCAUUGAUACUGCAGAGCUUGAGUACAGAUGAGGUAGGCGGAAUUGACGGUGUAGCGGUGAAAUGCUUAGAUAUCGUCAAGAACACCUAUAGCGAAGGCAGCUUACUAGGCUGUAACUGACGCUGAGGCACGAAAGUGUGGGGAUCAAACAGGAUUAGAUACCCUGGUAGUCCACACUGUAAACGUUGAAGACUCGCUGUGUGCGAUAUACAGUACGCGGC
rnacentral:rRNA from 1 species